GGGCCGUUAGCUCAAUGGUAGAGCAGCGGGCUUUUAACCCGUUGGUUGAAGGUUCGAGUCCUUCACGGCCCA
rnacentral:tRNA from 1 species